CCUACGGGUGGCAGCAGUGAGGAAUCUUGGUCAAUGGACGAGAGUCUGAACCAGCAAAGUAGCGUGAAGGAUGACUGCCCUAUGGGUUGUAAACUUCUUUUAUAUGGGAGUAAAAUGUUCCACGUGUGGGAUUUUGUUUGUACCAUAUGUAUUAGGAUCGGCUAACUCCGUGCCAGCAGCCGCGGUAAUACGGAGGAUACGAGCGUUGUCCGGAUUUAUUGGGUUUAAAGGGAGCGUAGGUGGAUUGUUAAGUCAGUUGUGAAAGUUUGCGGCUCAACCGUAAAAUUGCAGUUGAAACUGGCAGUCUUGAGUACAGUAGAGGUGGGCGGAACUCGAUGUGUAGCGGUGAAAUGCUUAGAUAUCACGAAGAACUCCGAUUGCGAAGGCAGUUCACUGGACUGCAACUGACACUGAGGCUCGAAAGUGUGGGUAGCAAACAGGAUGAGAUACCCUUGUAGUC
rnacentral:rRNA from 1 species